UACAGAGGGUGCGAGCGUUAAUCGGAAUUACUGGGCGUAAAGCGCGCGUAGGCGGUUUUGUAAGUCGGGUGUGAAAUCCCCAAGCUUAACUUGGGAACUGCAUUCGAGACUGCAUAGCUAGAGUAUGGGAGAGGGAAGUGGAAUUUCAGGUGUAGCGGUGAAAUGCGUAGAUAUCUGGAAGAACACCGGUGGCGAAGGCGGUCAACUGGCCCUCAACUGACGCUGAGGCACGAAAGCGUGGGGAUCAAACAGG
rnacentral:rRNA from 1 species